rnacentral:lncRNA from 1 species
UGAUUCUCUACUAAUGAGUGUUUUCACAUUUAAGUUUAUACUAAGCAAUUCAAACCCACUAGUUAUCUAAGCCCAAAUAUCAAUAACAUUUUUUUUUCUUUUUAGCCGAAUCCCAUGUUUUACCUCACUCCUUCAAGCUUUCUUCUUGACCCUUGUAGCAAGCUUUAGGUCGAUAACUCCCUGGUUGUUUAGGCUAAAGGGUACCGGGUUUCAAGAUACCCCUACGGACUUAAUAACUUGAGUCAAAAAAGCUACGAAGUGAGGCCCAAGAUUCAGCAAGUACAAUAACUUCAUUUUUUUUAGCACAACAAAAAUGGGGCUUAGAUCCCUAGCAUACGGUCAUUACCUAGCUUAUAUUCGGCAAAAGACACUCCACACAAAUAUUUUCAACAUGCACGGAAUCACACACUUCUAGAUAAUCUCCUUCACCAGCUCGACCACCCCCAAACUUAUCUCAUAAUGUGGUAAAGUGAAAGAAAAGAGAAUAUAGAUUGAUAAAAAUUUCCAAACGACUCACAAGUCACAACCUAGUUCAACCAAUUCAAAA